rnacentral:rRNA from 1 species
CGCGUAGGCGGCCUGCCAAGUCAGAUGUGAAAGCCCACGGCUCAACCGUGGAAGUGCAUCUGAAACUGGUAGGCUUGAGUACUGGAGGGGAGUGUGGAAUUCCUGGUGUAGAGGUGAAAUUCGUAGAGAUCAGGAGGAAUACCGGUGGCGAAGGCGACACUCUGGACAGAUACUGACGCUGAGGCGCGAAAGCGUGGGGAGCAAACA